rnacentral:rRNA from 1 species
AACGAACGCUGGCGGCGUGCCUAACACAUGCAAGUCGAACGGGGUUAAGGGGCUUGCUUCUUAACCUAGUGGCGCACGGGUGAGUAACGCGUGGAUAAUCUGCCCUGGUAUCUUGGAUAACAUCUCGAAAGGGGUGCUAAUACGGGAUAAGCCCACGGGAUCUUCGGAUCUUGCGGGAAAAGGUGGGGACCUUCGGGCCUACCGUAUCAGGAUGAGUCCGGGUACCAUUAGCUAGUUGGCGGGGUAAAGGCCCACCAAGGCGACGAUGGUUAGCUGGUCUGAGAGGAUGAUCAGCCACACUGGAACUGAGACACGGUCCAGACUCCUACGGGAGGCAGCAGUGGGGAAUUUUGCGCAAUGGGGGAAACCCUGACGCAGCAACGCCGCGUGAGUGAUGAAGGCCUUCGGGUCGUAAAGCUCUGUCAGAGGGAAAGAAGUGUGUGGAGGCUAAUAUCCUUUACACUUGACGGUACCCUCAAAGGAAGCACCGGCUAACUCCGUGCCAGCAGCCGCUGUAACAC